UACGUAGGGGGCUAGCGUUGUCCGGAAUCAUUGGGCGUAAAGCGCGUGUAGGCGGCCCGGUAAGUCCGCUGUGAAAGUCGGGGGCUCAACCCUCGAAAGCCGGUGGAUACUGUCGGGCUAGAGUACGGAAGAGGCGAGUGGAAUUCCUGGUGUAGCGGUGAAAUGCGUAGAGAUCCGGAAGAACACCGGUGGCGAAGGCGGCCCGCUGGGCUGUGGCUGACGCUGAGGCGCGACAGCGUGGGGAGCAAACAGG
rnacentral:rRNA from 1 species